UUCUUUUUCAAUACUUCUCAAGGAUUAAAAGAUUAUCCUUGCUCUACUGAAUACGCUCCGACGUACAAAACGGUAAGAUGUCUUUCCGCAUAUGUGAGUUUGGGUGUACGAUGAAAUCCAUCACCUUGGGAGGACAAGAGGUAUUGCCAAUAUGAGUGUA
rnacentral:ribozyme from 1 species